rnacentral:rRNA from 1 species
GACGUAGGGCGCGAGCGUUGUCCGGAUUUAUUGGGCGUAAAGAGCUCGUAGGCGGCUUGUCGCGUCGUCCGUGAAAACCCACAGCUCAACUGUGGGCUUGCGGUCGAUACGGGCAGGCUAGAGUUCGGUAGGGGAGACUGGAAUUCCUGGUGUAGCGGUGAAAUGCGCAGAUAUCAGGAAGAACACCGAUGGCGAAGGCAGAUCUCUGGGCCGUAACUGACGCUGAGGAGCGAAAGCAUGGGGAGCGAACAGG